GACGAACGCUGGCGGCGUGCUUAACACAUGCAAGUCGAGCGGUAAGGCCCUUUCGGGGGUACACGAGUGGCGAACGGGUGAGUAACACGUGGGUGACCUGCCCUCAGCUCUGGGAUAAGCCUGGGAAACCGGGUCUAAUACUGGAUAUGACUCCAUGACGCAUGUUGUGGGGUGGAAAGCCUUGUGCGGCUGAGGAUGGGCCCGCGGCCUAUCAGCUUGUUGGUGGGGUGAGGCCUACCAAGGCGACGACGGGUAGCCGGCCUGAGAGGGCGACCGGCCACACUGGGACUGAGACACGGCCCAGACUCCUACGGGAGGCAGCAGUGGGGAAUCUUGCGCAAUGGGCGAAAGCCUGACGCAGCGACGCCGCGUGAGGGAUGACGGCCUCGGUGUAACGU
rnacentral:rRNA from 1 species